UUUAAAUGGCUGCAGUAAUUUAACUGUACAAAGGUAGCAUAAUAAUUAGUCUUUUAAUUGAGGUCUGGAAUGAAUGGUUUAACAAGAGAAUAACUUUAUUAAUUUUUAAUAAUUUGAAUUUAAUUUUUUGGUUAAAAAGCUAAAAUUUUUAAUUGGGACGAUAAGACCCUAUAGAUCUUAUUUUUUUAAAUUAAUUUUUUAUAUAAGUUGAUUUUUUAAAAUAAAAUAAAAAAAAAUUCGUUGGGGUGACGUUGAAAACUUUAAAACUUUUAAAAAUCUUAUCAUUAAUUAAUGAUAAAUUGAUCUUUAAUUUAGGAUUAGUAGAUUAAGAUACCUUAGGGAUAACAGCGUAAUAAAUUUGGAUAGUUCAUAUUGAUAAAUUUGUUUACGACCUCGAUGUUGAAUUAAUUUAAAAUUUUGGAGUAGAAAUUAAAAAUUUGGGUCUGUUCGACCUUUAAUUAAUUACA
rnacentral:rRNA from 1 species